ensembl:lncRNA
ACUAUUUAAGGAGGACAUUUUGUUUUGUCAAUCAAUUUCACAGUUCUCUUCGUUAUAAAACAACAGAAUUGUAGAAAAUCCUGGAGCAAAUGGCUGUGCUACUAGUAGUAAUGCAUGACAGAUUUAAAGAUAAUUAGCUUAUUUCUGUUACAAAUUUUAUUCCUAAAGAAUGACUCCAGGAUGGCUAAUUUAAAAUCUCUUUUGCUACUGACAGUUGCCUUAAAGAAAAGAUGUAGAAUAAUAGAGGAAGACUCAAUAGGCAAUGAGAAAAGCAGAGCAAAAGGUGGAGCAAUGAAGGCCUCAAAUACUGAUGAGUAUGAAUAAGUUGAACCAGCAGAUAAAGAACAACUUAAGAAGUAACAACCCUCUUACAGCAGGAUGUCAGAAAGGAAAAUUAUCACAAGCUGAACCUCACCGAGAAGGUAAGUGACAACAUCAAAAUGAGCUGUAGCAUAACUGUUAACGUUUAAACCCAAGAUACCUUUAGUGAUUAGUGAAGAAUAAGCUAUUCUUAACAGACGUGUUUGCUCCUCACAUCUGCCAUCCAUGUAAUUAAAGGAACUUUCCUCAGCAAGAUAGUAACAGUUGCUCUUGCCACAAUGGAAGCUGCUUUAACGAAGGUGUGUGGAAACAUAUGAAUUAGUCAUAAACUGGAGAGUGAUGUGCUAUUAAAUGAAGUCUUCAUGAGAACUCACAGAUACAGUAAGUAUAUCUUCUCUCUCUAGCUGCCAAAAAAAGGCCAGUUACACCAAGGCUCAUGUUUGAAGUAAAACUCCUUUCUGCCUCUGAAUGCCUCUGAGGCUUUCUGAAGCAGAAGGCAAAAACCACCUCUGAAAUAAAUUUAUUGUGUUUCCUGUAGAUGUAUGACUACCAGUAUCUACAGAACUGCAUAAAUUAUUAUCUUUUACUAGAAAGAUGAACAGACUUUUAAAAAGGCAGGAUCAUUUGACAGUCUUAAAAAGAUAGUUCUACACAGUUCAAAAAAAAAGAAAUCAACUGCUGAGAUUACACCUGUAUAAUAGUGGCAUUUUAGCUGUCUGGGAGUAAACACAAAUUCUUAUCAUUGCAAAGGAACACUUAUACUCACACAGCUCAAAAUUAGAUGAAUAUUAAGCUACUUCAUCACAUAUGAAAAGAAAAAAUGGUUGCAUUUCCUGGGUAAAACACGCAGGCAUGAUCACAAGACAGCCCUCUGCAACAACUAUUGAUCCUCACCCAUUUGUCCUCCCUGUCUUUCUCCUCAAAUACUUCCUUAUUUAUAAACAGCAACGUGACAUGAUUAUAUUCCACCAAUAAUGAAUGAUCUCUGAAUCCAGGUUAAGGUGAAAACUUUGAACUAUGUCUGUAAUGGCUAAAAACAUCAGCAUACAAUUUAAAAGUUGACACAUUAACAACUCGGGACUUAAACCUGGACACGUUCCCAACAUGUACUAGAAUUUCAUAUAUUCUAAUAACCAAAUUGUUUUAUUAUUCUGCUACAUCAUAAUCACCAGAACUACCACUUAUAAUAAACAUAGGUUAAGAAGUACAGCACAUAACAUUAUCUGUAUUAUUGCCAUUAUAAAACAAACAAACAAACCAACCACCCCAAACUCAACUUACAGACUGUGUCCACUAGGGAACAAACAGUCUAUAUCAACAGACACUCUUGGAUUAAGUCACACAUUCUUCAGCUUCCAAAUUGUUAUGGACCAAUCAAAGCAACAUUCUUCAUGAAAAUACAAAAAUAACAAAAAAAAAUAACGAGUGCAAAAUCAUAAUCCAAAAUAAUAUGCAAUUCUUCUUGUGUUAUCAAUGAUACUUACAGUAGGAAGGGAUCUAAUUUGGCUCCAAUGUUUUUUGCAAUACUAAACAAAAUCAAGUCAGAUUUCUUUUGGUUUCGUGUCAUUCAAACUCGGGUUGUUGAAAACUCUAUUUGCUGAAUUUUUAAUAUAGAAAUCAACCUUUUAUAUACAACAUAUCUCAAAUGGUAUUUUUAGACUAUUUUUAGUACAAUUAAACCUUUAUUUUAUGGGAUGAGAUAAUAAAAAUAAUAGAAGUAAUUCUAUUUCAAAGAGACACCAGGUUCCAACUGUAUCAAAGGAUAUAGUUGGAUGGACUUACCUGAUUUCCUAUUUUAAGUACAUUACUGAAUUCGU